AUUCAAGUGACCACCUUUGCAUGAACCUUCUAACUUCUUGAGCUGCCUGGUGAUUGGAGAUGAACGUUGACUGAAGCAUGGCAUCCACUUGCCCUCCGCUACUAUUGCAGAGAGAAAGGGGGUGGGUGUCCAGCCACAAGCCAGUCAGUCUGCACAAUGAUGCCAUGUUCUGAAGGAAGCCAAGUGUGCUCGGCUUUACAAGAAAUAGAUAACAUCAAGGACAUCGGGAGUGGGAGAGAUUGGACUGGGAGACUCAGCAGAUAUUUUUCUCUCUCCUGCCAAGAGGGAACCCGCUGCCUCUUUCCUGAAUUAUCCUCCUGACUGGCUUCCCUCCCUCAGUUUGUCCAUUCCAAACCAGAACU
rnacentral:lncRNA from 1 species